AGUGACAUCAGCGGCAAAGUGACAUCAUCAGUGGCGAUGUGACAUCAUCAUAACAGAUGUGUCGGCUCACGGCGGGCGUCUUCACAGGGGUUUGGAACAGAA